rnacentral:rRNA from 1 species
GCAAGUCGAGGGGUAACAGGGGGAAGCUUGCUUUUCCGCUGACGACCGGCGCACGGGUGCGUAACGCGUAUAGAACCUACCUUUUACAGGGGAAUAGCCCAGAGAAAUUUGGAUUAAUGCCCCAUAGUAUUAUUGAUUGGCAUUAAUUAAUAAUUAAACAUUUAUGGGUAAAAGAUGGCUAUGCGUUCUAUUAGCUAGAUGGUAAGGUAACGGCUUACCAUGGCGACGAUAGAUAGGGGUCCUGAGAGGGAGAUC